GACGAACCGUGCGAACGUUAUUCGGAAUAACUGGGCUUAAAGGGAGCGUAGGCGGGCUAUCAAGUCUGGGGUGAAAUCCCGCGGCUCAACCGUGGAACUGCCUCAGAUACUGACGGCCUCGAGGGAGAUAGGGGCAUGCGGAACUGUAGGUGGAGCGGUGAAAUGCGUUGAUAUCUACAGGAACGCCGGUGGCGAAAGCGGCGUGCUGGAUCUCUUCUGACGCUGAGGCUCGACAGCGUGGGGAGCAAACAGG
rnacentral:rRNA from 1 species